AUGAAUUUUCUUAUCUCAGCCCUUAUGUAGGAGAGAUAUAAACUAUCUCAUGCCUUCUGUUUGGCUCGCAAUUAUCUUGCUCCAGUCAGGAAUGAGCAACGGCUGAUAACGCAAGCCCUGUGGCGACACGCAGAUGUUCAAACCGCAGGAUUUAAGAAGAAACAUCUGAGAAAGUCACCUGAGCUUUGAAAGAGCAAUCUCUUGAGCAACAUAUGGCUAAGGGUGUGUGUAAUGGCAUGUGAGGAUCCGGAGGGCCUGAUUCAUCGAGAUCGAUGCCGCUUCCUCCCCUCUAAGGUAAAUGGUUACCUAGGAGACGGACAGGCGCUUUCCAUCUUGUAAUCCUGAGGGGAUGCAGGAAGAUAAAUGUUCUCCUCCGCUGUCCUGUCGCCCUGGCAACGUUACAACCCCAAACCUGUCCUACAGGACGUCCCGCUUGACAUCCGACUCAGAGAAAGGCUGUG